rnacentral:rRNA from 1 species
CCCUUAGAUGUUCUGGGCCGCACGCGUGCUACACUGAGUGGAUCAGCGGGUCAGGUUGCGCGAAAGUGUUUCCUAAUCUUGAAAUCCGCUCGUGAUGGGGAUUGACGGUUGCAAUUUUCUGUCAUGAACGAGGAAUACCUUGUAAGCGCGGGUCAUCAUCCCGCGCUGAAUACGUCCCUGCCCUUUGUACACACCGCCCGUCGCUCCUACCGAUUGAAUGAUCCGAUGAAUAUCAUGGAUUGAGAGUACGAACAGGUUCGCUUGUUUCUGCUCCUCGAGAAGUGAAGUAAAUCUUAUCAUUUAGAGGAAGGAGAAGUCGUAACA